CUGACCUUUCUUGGGGAUUCUGACCAAACUGCAGUGGAAGACAGCUAAUAUCUUCCAGGAUUUUCCAUGAUUAAGCACAUCUUCUUUGAUUGAGUGAAAUGUCAUUAAGAUGGGAACAGGCUUCAGCGUACCUGUGUGAGUCAAAAAAUGACACGGAAGGCUCCACACCGUGUGAGGCUGCUGUAAAAGAGAAGUGGGCAGGGUCAGGAAGGAGAAUUAGGCUGGGAAAUCGGGAGGGACUGCACCUGUGUUGGACCAUGAGGGAGCCCAAAGUGUCUCAGGUUCCUCCCUACACUGACUAAUCCCUUUUGUCUGCUGUGCACAAGCACCAGUACCUGCCUGAAACCCCUUCAGCCCUCAGAUUUCCACUCACAGCUGUCUCCAGAGUGUCGCAAGGAAAGAUGAUGGAUGGGCAGACUUUUAUUUCCAUUAGAAGGGAGCCAACUGAAUAUUUCCAACAGCUUUAUUAAAAAUACUAGUUCUUGCUUUGCUUAAUCUUGAAAAAUGUGACAUGUUCCUGCAGCUGAGUUUGCAUUUUGUCUGGGAAAUGGAUGCCUGAGGUGGAAUGAUUUUCUGGAGGAGCAGAGCAGGGAACAAUUUAGUGUCUUCCCUUCCACAGGCAGAGAGGGUCCAGCUCUGAAGAGAGGAGCUGAUAGCCCACAGAUGCCAUCUCCCCAAGGGGCUGUACUUCAGGUUUUUGGGAAUGUGACCCCUGAAAUCCAACAGCAAAGGCAGUCAGGCUGAUCAAACUGGAGGCCUCCCUGUCAUCUCAGCCUCACUGCUGUGCUCCCUGACCACCCCUGAGCUCUGAAGAGCAUUGCCCUCCCUCCUCAGGGUUUCUGUCAUCCCAGCUGUUGACACACUGCUCAUGACCCAUAGUUGGCAUCAUUUACAGAAGACUUUUGGAAGAGAGUACUGGAGUGUUUGGGUUCAAUGGGAUGGGGUGGCAAAGAGGAAAACAAAUUAGAAGCGCAGGAGGGUGUCAGGUUUGGGUGAAUAACUGCUUCAUCACCACAGUGUCUGCAUAACUAAAACUCUGCCCAAAGAAUAGAGUUUGUCCAAGGUUUUUCUUCUCUUGCUUUUCCUAUUUCCCUCUUGUUUUCCCAGAAAUAGAACAUGACAUUUAUUUUUAUGGACAGCAGGAUCUUAUGGCUAUUCCCCUGUGACGGAGUAAUCUGAACACAAUUAUGUUCUGUUGACAAAAAGUGAUAAAAGUGUAUUGUGUCAACACUCUGAACUAACAGAUUUGUCAUCUUCUCUACUUCCAAAUAAUAGAAACAGAAUUAGAAAAUGCUCUGACAGACUCUAUCUAUUUCUAUGGUUAAAUAAGCACCAGCCCUGUGCUUGGUUACUGUACUCACUGUUCUCCCUCUUCCAGAAAAAUCUGUCUGGCUGUGUUUUAAAUUCAAGUGUAAAUUUUGCUUUGAUGGACUUCUUUUGGCAGCUUAUAGCUUAUAUGCUCUGAAGUAAUUUGACCUAAGUUCUCCAUUUCCUUUCAGUCUUACUACUCCCAUUUCUUUCCAUGGCUUUGAAAAAUCUAAGCUUUUUUUCCGUAUCUUUGUUUUCCCAUACAAAUUUCCUUCUAGAAAAUGUAUUCGAAAAUAGUACCUGUAUUAUA